GUGCCAGCAGCCGCGGUAAUACGGGGGGUGCAAGCGUUAUUCGGAAUUAUUGGGCGUAAAGGGCGCGUAGGCGGUCUCCUAAGUCAGAUGUGAAAGCCCGGGGCUUAACCCCGGAAGUGCAUUUGAAACUAAGGGACUUGAGUAUGGGAGAGGGAAGUGGAAUUCCUGGUGUAGAGGUGAAAUUCGUAGAUAUCAGGAGGAACACCGGUGGCGAAGGCGACUUCCUGGACCAAUACUGACGCUGAGGCGCGAAGGCGUGGGGAGCAAACAGGAUUAGAUACCCUGGUAGUCC
rnacentral:rRNA from 1 species